rnacentral:rRNA from 1 species
UACGUAGGUGGCAAGCGUUGUCCGGAUUUACUGGGCGUAAAGAGCGCGCAGGCGGUCGGCCAAGUCGAGUGUGAAAGCCCCCGGCUCAACUGGGGAGGGUCAUUCGAUACUGGUCGACUCGAAGGCAGGAGAGGGAAGCGGAAUUCCCGGUGUAGUGGUGGAAUGCGUAGAUAUCGGGAGGAACACCAGUGACGAAGGCGGUUACCUGGAGCUUUGCUGACGCUGAUACGCGAAAGCGUAAAGAGCGAUCCGG